UUAGUUUUAUUGUCCAUGAAGCAACCUCUCCCCAACUUGAAGAAUUCUCCCUUUCAUUUUAAAAACACUCUUCAUUCUUGGCAAGGAACAUUAAUCAUGAUUAAUUUAAGGUUUUGUUUCCAAAGAAAAACUAGAAUGGGUCAAUUAUGAACUUUUGAUUUUUGGAUAGAAGAUAACAAAUUCACCAAGUGAUUUACUUAGUGAUUUGUUUGAGUUCAUAAUUG
rnacentral:lncRNA from 1 species